rnacentral:misc_RNA from 1 species
UGGCGCGACGCGGUCGUGGACGACGCGGCGGCCGGCGUCUUGGGCGGCGAGCUCGGCAGGCUCAUGGACAGGUCGAGGUCGAGGUCGAGGUUGAGGUCGGGGCACCGCGGCGCGUCCGAGCUGCCGCCGC